rnacentral:tRNA from 1 species
GGGUCGGUAGCAAAUGUUGGUCUUGCACCGGUCUCUUAAACCGCGCGACGUGGGUUCGAUUCCCACCCGACCCA